rnacentral:rRNA from 1 species
UACGUAGGGACCAAGCGUUGUUCGGAUUUACUGGGCGUAAAGGGCGCGUAGGCGGCGUGGUAAGUCACUUGUGAAAUCUCUGAGCUUAACUCAGAACGGCCAAGUGAUACUGCUGUGCUAGAGUGCAGAAGGGGCAAUCGGAAUUCUUGGUGUAGCGGUGAAAUGCGUAGAUAUCAAGAGGGAACACCUGAGGUGAAGACGGGUUGCUGGGCUGACACUGACGCUGAGGCGCGAAAGCCAGGGGAGCAAACGGG